rnacentral:rRNA from 1 species
UACGUAGGGGGCAAGCGUUGUCCGGAUUUAUUGGGCGUGAAGAGCGUGUAGGCGGUUUGGUAGGUCCGCUGUGAAAACUCGAGGCUCAACCUCGAGACGCCGGUGGAAACCAUCAGACUAGAGUCCGGAAGAGGAGAGUGGAAUUCCUGGUGUAGCGGUGAAAUGCGCAGAUAUCAGGAAGAACACCCGUGGCUAAGGCGGCUCUCUAGUACGGUACUGACGCUGAGACGCGAAAGCGUGGGGAGCGAACAGG